rnacentral:rRNA from 1 species
AUGGGUGAUAUAAACAAGAGGAAGAAAUUAGCGCAAGAGAGUUGUAAUUUUGGAAUCUCAGACCUCCCGGAUGAUAUGCUUGAGCACAUAGUAUCCUUCCUAUCAUUGAAUGAGGCCGUGAGGACUUGUGUUCUUUCCAAGAAUUGGAGCUACAUAUGGAAAUUUGUGCCUACCCUACGUAUUUCUGAUACAAUCGAUAAAUGUAACAACUUAAUAGACAAUUUUUUGCGUGGCCGUGGAAACACCGCAAUCAUUGUUUGUGAUAUCGAGUUGACUAAUCUCGAGAAGGUAGAAAUGCAUGACAUGAUAGACACAUGGAUCUUUCAUAUCGUGAAUCUUUGCCAUGUUCAGGAGCUCAGAGUCAUUAGCUGUAUAGAGGAUGAUUUCCUACAGUUCAGGGAUCAAGCUCUCAUCUCCAAGCACUUGAAGAGGUUAGAGCUUGAUAAGGUUUGCUUAAAAGCUAGCACUAUUGAUUUCUCAAGCUGCCCUGCAUUGGAAGAAAUAGAUCUGAUGUUUUGUUGGAUUGAAGCAAAUUACAUUAUAUCAAAGUCAUUAAAGCGCCUGAUUGCAGUGGAAUGUGAAUUUGAUAGUGGGUGCACGCACUCACAUUUCUGUCCCCAACCUCAUCUUUCUUAA